rnacentral:snRNA from 1 species
GUCCGAGGACAAUCGUAGCCGUC